UGGAUGAUGUGGAUUAAUUCGAUGCAACGCGAAAACCUUACCUACCCUUGACAUGUCUGGAAUCUUGGUGAGAGCCGAGGUGCCUUCGGGAGCCAGAACACAGGUGCUGCAUGGCUGUCGUCAGCUCGUGUCGUGAGAUGUUGGGUUAAGUCCCGCAACGAGCGCAACCCUUGUCAUUAGUUGCUACGAAAGGGCACUCUAAUGAGACUGCCGGUGACAAACCGGAGGAAGGUGGGGAUGACGUCAAGUCCUCAUGGCCCUUAUAGGUGGGGCUACACACGUCAUACAAUGGCUGGUACAAAGGGUUGCCAACCCGCGAGGGGGAGCCAAUCCCAUAAAGCCAGUCGUGGUCCGGAUCGCAGUCUGCAACUCGACUGCGUGAAGUCGGAAUCGCUAGUAAUCGUGGAUCAGCAUGUCACGGUGAAUACGUUCCCGGGUCUU
rnacentral:rRNA from 1 species